rnacentral:rRNA from 1 species
AAUCAACGCUGGCGGCGUGCCUCAGACAUGCAAGUCGAACGAUUAAAGCUCUCUUCGGAGAGUGUAUAGAGUGGCGCACGGGUGAGUAACACGUAAGUAAUCUACCUUCGAGUGGGGAAUAACGUUCGGACACGAACGCUAAUACCGCAUAAUGCAGCGGCAUCGCAAGAUGACAGUUGUUAAAGGAAUUUAUUUCGCUUGAAGAGGAGCUUGCGGCAGAUUAGCUAGUUGGUAAGGUAACGGCUUACCAAGGCUACGAUCUGUAUCCGGUCUAAGAGGACGGUCGGACACACGGACACUGAAUAACGGGUCAGACUCCUACGGGAGGCAGCAGUCGGGAAUUUUGGGCAAUGGGCGAAAGCCUGACCCAGCAACGCCGCGUGAAGGAUGAAGUAUUUCGGUAUGUAAACUUCGAAAGAAUGGGAAGAAUAAAUGACGGUACCAUUUAUAAGCUCCGGCUAACUACGUGCCAGCAGCCGCCGUAAGAC